GCUGUUGUAGCUCAGUCGGUAGAGUGCAUCCUUGGUAAGGAUGAGGUCGUCAGUUCGAUUCUGAUCAACAGCUCCA
rnacentral:tRNA from 1 species